CACGAAUCCAUGAUACCUGUAUCACCAUUACUAAACCCACGAUAGGGUUUUUCAUACCUUUGUGAAUUUUCCAAUUUCUUCCCUAUAUAUACUGAUGCAAAGCUUAUUGUUUCCACAUAAAAUUGGCACAAGAGCGCUUUCAUAUCAAAUCUGCAACAGAUCAAUUGCAAGUUACUGAAUAUGGAGAGUGAUCAAUCAUCCAACCCCCAAACUGGAAGGACAACUUGGACUCCUCCCAUGGAUAGACUGUUCAUAGGUCUAAUGGAAGACCAAGUACAGAAAGGACAACUAC